UCUCUGCGCAAUCAAAGAAAGCAGGGUGGCUGGAGCUCCCACUGUGGGUAAGAGGGACGGUGGUGCUGCCCCAGGCUGGGGAGGUAGGCAGGGGCUAGACCAGCAGGGCAUCGGGCAUUGCACUCCAGCCUGGGUGACAGAGCGAGACUCCAUCUCAAAAAUUAAAAAAAAAAAAGGAAAGGGAGUGGGGCCCUGUAACUGGACAAAAAUCGUGCAACUGACACUCUCCAUGCCCCAGCCAAGCCCUGGCCAACCUAGGAAAGUGGGUAUCAGGAAGCCUGAGGUCCAGGCUUGCACACACAUGAUGGAUUUUAGUUUUUACCAAAGAGCAACAAAGAACUUUGUUAAAAAUAAUGUCAGGCAGAGUUGGGGCCUGCAGUGUGAACAGAUUGGAGACAGCAAAAGUGGAUUAGGGGGCCUGUGAGGAGUCUAGGUGAGAGAUAAUAAAUACUGUCUUGGGCUAGUGGCUGUAUAAUAGGGCCAAGAGAGCAGAGUCAAGACAUAGUUCGGAAGUGAAAUUGACAGGACUUGGUGAUAAGCAGUAUAUGGAGUGAGGUAGGGAUGAAGGAGACCGUGUGUCCAAGGUGACUCUGAGGUUUGUGGUGGAUGGUGUUAGAGGAGCACUCAUUCCCCACUCCUCAUGUUUCCUGAUGGAGGGUCUUCUGUUGGCGUAACAGCCCUUCACUCCUUACAUGAUGGUGUGCUAGGGAGGAGGAUCUGGGCUGGGGCGGCUCAGUGCCUUCUGGUUUUUCGAAUCACCCCUGCCUGCCACGGACAGGUGAUCUGUCUGCUCUCUGGGCCACAUGGUGAGCUUGGUGGGGCCGGCUGUAUCCACCCCAUCCCCCUGAGAAGCCUGCAAUGUGGGAGGCAGUGUCAGCAAAGGGUGGCAUAGCCAGUCUGAUCAGGACCUGGAAACAGAAUAGAGGGUGUCAUUUUCUCUAGACCCUCCCAGCACCUAGAGGAUUUAUUUACCAAGGCAGGGAACACGGGAGGAAAAGCAGGCUUUGAGAGAGAAUAACCAUGAAUUCAACUUUGGAACCCUUUUCUGGCCACUUUGAUAUCUUAACUUUGACUUAAAUAUCCCGUGAAAUCAGUAUAUUUGCCCAUGUACACCUUUUUAAAAAAUUAAAAGGGGCAUUAACUAAUCAAAGUAAGAAUUUUCUAAAAUUUUGCUUUGGUAGGUCAGCCUGGACUUACAAAUCCAAGCCAGAGGGAGUCUCCUCAGAGAGGCAGUGACCUGGCUGCAUCCUGGGGGAUACUAACAGUAAUAACUACCAUCAUCAGGCACUUAACACACUUCCCAUACUGUGCUAAGAUGACCACGUGUAAUCUUUGCAGUACCCUACAAGAGACACUUUUAUUAUUCCUACUUUUCAGAUGGAGAAACUGAGGCCCAGAGAGGUUAAAUGAUCUCAGCAAGGCCAUCUAGCUAAUGAGAAGUGAAUCUAGGAUUCCAGAGCUCUUGCUCUUAAAUGCUAUGCUGAAAGACAAGAUGUGCUGGAAGAUUUUUGACCGACUGAAUGAAAAGCACUUUGCAGACAUCCUCCUCCACUCAUCUAACACGGAGGCAACCUGUCUGGUAAAGCCUCUCAAAUCCAGCCAGAAUCAUCUGGAAGAGUUUAGCAAGCUGGCAGGAAGGCCAGCCUGAAAUGGACUUAGCUGGGAUUCUGCCCGAGGCCCUCACAUUAGCUGUGCAAUGCAACCUCUGCCCAGAGUGCAAAACAGAAUGCUGCUGGAGCUGCUCAUGAAAUCACCUCGCUGUGGCCGCCACAUUGUCCCCAUUUGCUUUGGAAAGUAAUGCCAUUAUGAAAUAUGGUAUCCCCUGUAGUUCUGCAUCGGAAGCAGAGAGGGCACACGUGGACUCCCUCCCCAUUCCAGCAGGCAUGGUCUCAGUGCCCCUGCACCUGGGCCUCUGGCCAGGGGCCUCCAUAGCUGCCUGCAGGAGUGAGUGCACUGCAGUCCUGAGCACCUGGACUGAGCACCUGGCUGUAGCCCUCCACCCUUACCCUGUGCCUCCCUAAAGCCUCCUGUGUCAAAUGAAGUCAUUAUUAUCCCCACCUCGUGAGCCGUCACAAGAAUAAAUAAUUUAAUAUAUGCAAGAUGCUUGGCACCGACUGUUAUAAAACUCAAUGACAAUGAUAGUUUGCUUCAUCAUCAUCAUCAUCGUCAUCACAACCACCACCAUUCAGUACAUCAUGGUUUCCCACCUUUGCACUUUUAAAGAAGGAAAACCAACUGCCAUGUGUAAUAUGAUUUCUUUACUGCUUCGUGGAAACCAACUUUAAAUAAACUCACUUUUAAAAC